rnacentral:rRNA from 1 species
GAUGAACGCUGGCGGCGUGCCUAAUACAUGCAAGUCGAACGGCAGCACGGACUUCGGUCUGGUGGCGAGUGGCGAACGGGUGAGUAAUGUAUCGGAACGUGCCCAGUCGUGGGGGAUAACGUAGUGAAAAUUACGCUAAUACCGCAUACGAUCUAUGGAUGAAAGCGGGGGAUCGCAAGACCUCGCGCGAUUGGAGCGGCCGAUAUCAGAUUAGGUAGUUGGUGGGGUAAAGGCCCACCAAGCCAACGAUCUGUAGCUGGUCUGAGAGGACGACCAGCCACACUGGAACUGAGACACGGUCCAGACUCCUACGGGAGGCAGCAGUGGGGAAUUUUGGACAAUGGGCGAAAGCCUGAUCCAGCCAUUCCGCGUGCAGGAUGAAGGCCCUCGGGUUGUAAACUGCUUUUGUACAGAACGAAAAGGUUUCUACUAGUACUAGGAGCUCAUGACGGUACUGUAAGAAUAAGCACCGGCUAACUACGUGCCAGCCGCCGCCGUAA